rnacentral:sRNA from 1 species
AGUAACUUCUUCAACCUCGUCGACCGGGGGUUCCACUUUAAGGGAAUGUUUCAAAAUUUGCUCUCGAAUGUCUGUGAUAACGCCACUCUCGUUGGAAAUGGAGGACCCAAGGUCAGAGUCACACCUAUCUUCAGAUUUCAACUUUUCCAGUCUCCCAUCGGAAGGAUCAAAUCUUGGCAUGCUUGCAGCCAUGGUGGGUGCACAAUCUUCUUCCAGGUCGUUCAAAUCCAUGUUUACCUCAAUCGAACGUCCAAAUUGUGAAUCAAAUAUCUUACUUUGCGCGUUAUUAACUGCAGUUUUCUCUAAAUUCCCAACAUAUGAACUUUCCUUUCCUUCUCGUGAGUUGCCUACAACGGACUUUCCAGACCUAAACUAAACUGGAAAUUUUCAGCCGAACAAAGCCCUUACUUGACACGCACAAAGGGAGAUUUGACAGGGGAAUUCCCAUUUGGAUUUCCCCGUUUCGGUGACCUAGAUUUUGGUCGACAGACAGCGUAUCGAGAGCGCUUGAAUUACCUGUGAGAUAUUAGGGAAUUUGUUGAUUUUUUUUUCAUUUUAGUAGUUUUUUUAAAGUGGGUUUCAAUAUUCGGUAAUUUAUGAAUCAGCAAUACACUUUGCCAUAUAAGGCAAAUGCAUGUUAAUGAAUAGGCCUACUUAAUUUUUUUUUUAAUUGAUGAAAUAUUUACAAGAGGUUAAUAAUACGUCUAACGUUAUAUAGUAUUUAUUAUUGGUUGUCUAUAUACAUUCACCAAAAUACCGGUGAUCGAAAUCAUAUGAUCGAAAGGAAGGAUAGCUUGUUGUAAUUUGUCAAUUAAAAAAU